AGAGUUUGAUCCUGGCUCAGGAUGAACGCUAGCGACAGGCUUAACACAUGCAAGUCGAGGGGCAGCGGGGUAGGAAGCUUGCUUUCUGCCGCCGGCGACCGGCGCACGGGUGAGUAACACGUAUGCAACCUGGCCGUGACUGAUGGAUAACCGGGAGAAAUCCCGCCUAAUACAACAUAAUGCCGGGAGGGGACAUCCCCUGCCGGCCAAAGGGGGCGACCCCGGUCACGGAUGGGCAUGCGGCGCAUUAGGUAGUUGGUGGGGCAACGGCCCACCAAGCCGACGAUGCGUAGGGGUUCUGAGAGGAAGGUCCCCCACAUUGGAACUGAGACACGGUCCAAACUCCUACGGGAGGCAGCAGUGAGGAAUAUUGGUCAAUGGCCGGAAGGCUGAACCAGCCAAGUCGCGUGAGGGAAGAAGGCCCUACGGGUCGUAAACCUCUUUUGCCAGGGAGCAAUGCCGUCCACGUGUGGACGGAAGGAGAGUACCUGGAGAAAAAGCAUCGGCUAACUCCGUGCCAGCAGCCGCGGUAAUACGGAGGAUGCGAGCGUUAUCCGGAUUUAUUGGGUUUAAAGGGUGCGUAGGCGGCCUGCCAAGUCAGCGGUAAAAUUGCGGGGCUCAACCCCGUACAGCCGUUGAAACUGCCGGGCUCGAGUGGGCGAGAAGUAUGCGGAAUGCGUGGUGUAGCGGUGAAAUGCAUAGAUAUCACGCAGAACCCCGAUUGCGAAGGCAGCAUACCGGCGCCCGACUGACGCUGAGGCACGAAAGUGCGGGGAUCAAACAGGAUUAGAUACCCUGGUAGUCCGCACAGUAAACGAUGAAUGCUAGCUGUCCGGGGGGAUUGACCCCUGGGUGGCACAGCGAAAGCGUUAAGCAUUCCACCUGGGGAGUACGCCGGCAACGGUGAAACUCAAAGGAAUUGACGGGGGCCCGCACAAGCGGAGGAACAAGUGGUUUAAUUCGAUGAUACGCGAGGAACCUUACCCGGUCUCAAACGGCACAGGCCAGUCGCAGAGACGCGAUCUUCCUACGGGACCUGUGCCGAGGUGCUGCAUGGUUGUCGUCAGCUCGUGCCGUGAGGUGUCGGCUUAAGUGCCAUAACGAGCGCAACCCCUGCCGGUAGUUGCUAACGGUUCAGCCGAGGACUCUGCCGGGACUGCCAGCGCAAGCUGUGAGGAAGGCGGGGAUGACGUCAAAUCAGCACGGCCCUUACGUCCGGGGCGACACACGUGUUACAAUGGGUGGUACAGCGGGAAGCCAUGUGGCGACACAGAGCAGAACCCGAAAGCCACUCUCAGUUCGGAUCGGAGUCUGCAACCCGACUCCGUGAAGCUGGAUUCGCUAGUAAUCGCGCAUCAGCCAUGGCGCGGUGAAUACGUUCCCGGGCCUUGCACACACCGCCCGUCA
rnacentral:rRNA from 1 species